CGCGGCCGCCCGGCCAGCGGCCCCGGCCCCGGAGGCUCGGACCGGCCCCAGGAUUGGGGUUUCUGCGCCCCAGCAGAUUCCUUCUACUGUGCCCACGCCUGCCGGGCCCAGCAUAGCGCCCACCCAUGAUGUCCCGAUAUUCCUGGUCCUGGAAGCUGAUGACCAGGGACUCUGCGUGGUUCCUUCCCCGCAGAAGACUGUAGGCGACUUGAAGGGAGGACUUUCUCUUGCCCACCUUGUAUCGCGGUGGCAUGAGGCCAUGGUCAAUGUCAGCUGCCUACCUGGAACCAGAUCUGAACUGAUGUCCCUUGUCACUCUGGGUGACUGAGAACUUUUUUGUUUGUGAAAUAAAAUGAAAAUAAUUUGGGACUUCCCUGGUGGUCCAGUGGUUAAGAAUCCACCUUCCAAUGCAGGGGACGUGAUCCCUGGUCGGGGAGCUAAGAUCCCACAUGCCGUGGGCUAAGUAAGCCUGUGCGCGGCAACUACUGAGCACACGGGCCACACCUAGUGCGCCUGCGCACCUCAACGGAGAUCCCAACCAAGAUCCCGCGCGCUGGCAACUAAGACCCGAUGCAGCCAAAAAUUAAAUAAAUAAAUAUUAAAAUGAAAAUAAUUUAAUAUCCUGCUCUUUGAAUUCUAGAAACACUUUCCAGUUUGCUAUAUUCUUCAUGGGCAUUAUGUCACAUGCCACUGAGAAGACGUGACAUAGUUUAAGCAACUGUAUAUUGAUGAACAUUUACAAUGCUUCCAUUUUAUACUAUUAUUUGAAUAAUGCAGUGAUAAGUGCAUUAUAAGUGCAUAUAUUUCCCUCAUAUCUUGGAUGGGAUUCUUUGGAAGGAACUGCCAUAAGUGGGAUAAAGUCAGAAGAUAAGAACUGUUAAAUGCUUUUCAAAAAGACUGUGCCAACCGACAGUGGCAGCACACCUGUGCACCUGUGCACCUGUGUCUCCGUGUACUACACACCUGCACACACAUGUGCAUCAUCCUCUUCCAAGCACGAUGUACCUCAACUAAAAGAUUUUGGCUAAUUGAAUAGAUGGAAAG